rnacentral:rRNA from 1 species
AGAACGAACGCUGGCGGCGUGGAUAAGACAUGCAAGUCGAACGGGACAACAUACUGUAGCGAAUACAGGUGUUGUUUAGUGGCGAACGGGUGCGUAACACGUGGGCAAUCUGCCGAGAAGUGGGGGAUAGCUCGCCGAAAGGCGAAUUAAUACCGCAAUAUGAUCAGGGAGGACAUUCUCUCGACAUCAAAGCCGGGGNAACCUGGCGCUUCUUGAUGA